CAAGUCGAGCGCCCCGCAAGGGGAGCGGCAGACGGGUGAGUAACGCGUGGGAAUCUACCCAGUUCUACGGAACAACACAGGGAAACUCGUGCUAAUACCGUAUACGCCCUACGGGGGAAAGAUUUAUCGGAAUUGGAUGAGCCCGCGUUGGAUUAGCUAGUUGGUGGGGUAAUGGCCUACCAAGGCGACGAUCCAUAGCUGGUCUGAGAGGAUGAUCAGCCACACUGGGACUGAGACACGGCCCAGACUCCUACGGGAGGCAGCAGUGGGGAAUAUUGGACAAUGGGCGAAAGCCUGAUCCAGCCAUGCCGCGUGAGUGAUGAAGGCCCUAGGGUUGUAAAGCUCUUUCAGUGGGGAAGAUAAUGACGGUACCCACAGAAGAAGCCCCGGCUAACUUCGUGCCAGCAGCCGCGGUAAUACGAAGGGAGCUAGCGUUGUUCGGAUUUACUGGGCGUAAAGCGCACGUAGGCGGAUUGUUAAGUGAGGGGUGAAAUCCCAGGGCUCAACCCUGGAACUGCCUCUCAUACUGGCAAUCUCGAGUCCGGAAGAGGUGAGUGGAACUCCUAGUGUAGAGGUGGAAUUCGUAGAU
rnacentral:rRNA from 1 species